rnacentral:rRNA from 1 species
CCCUUUUCCUUAGUUGGGCCAAGCAAUUUCAAUUUGGGGGGCACUUUUUAAGGGGGAGUCUUCCCGGGUUUUAAACCCGGGAAAGAAAAGUGGGGGGAAUAACUUCAGUUCUUAUGGCCCUUUAAGGCCCAGGGGCAACACACGUGNUACCAUGAACCGGUACAAAGGGCUGCAAUACCGCGGAGGUGGAGCGAAUCCCAAAAAGCCGUUCCCAGUUCGGAUUGGGAGUCUGCAACUCGACUCCAUGAAGUCGGAAUCGCUAGUAAUCGCAGAUCAGCAGGCUGCGGUGAAUACGUUCCCGGGCCCUGUACACACCCCCCGUGAAUCACUAGUG